rnacentral:rRNA from 1 species
AUACAGAGGGGGCGAGCGUUAAUCGGAAUUACUGGGCGUAAAGCGCGCGUAGGCGGCUACUUAAGUCAGAUGUGAAAUCCCCGGGCUCAACCUGGGAACUGCAUCUGAUACUGGGUAGCUAGAGUUUUGGAGAGGGAAGUAGAAUUUCAGGUGUAGCGGUGAAAUGCAUAGAGAUCUGAAGGAAUACCAGUGGCGAAGGCGACUUCCUGGCCAAAAACUGACGCUGAGGUGCGAAAGCGUGGGUAGCAAACGGGAUUAGAAACCCCUGUAGUCC